AUAGUGCUAAAGAUCAAGGAAGUCUGCUGUUAAACACUGUCAGCAAUGUUAACAAAAUUACCAGUGAAGAAGAAGAAAUGAAUCCACGAUGAAUAAUAAUGCACUAUAUCAGGCUGCAAAGACAGUUAGGUGAAACUAUGUUAACACAAAUGGGUUGCAGGGAAAGGACACAAAUUAAGAAAGAAGAGAGAGACCUUUGAUUAUGAACCACAUCUAGAGAGACGACUAGAAAGAAGGAGUGAAGGUCUGGAGUUCCCGAAUUUUGAUCAUACAGACAAAAAAGUCUCUUCACCAAGGCAGUCCAUUUUUAGGCUGGAACAGAAGUGAGUACCUCUCCCCUCACCUCAACAUUCUUGGUCCUUUCAGCAGAGCCUGGAUCUAUCUCCUGUACAGAACCCGCUACCUAGCUACAUUAGGCACAACUGUGUAAAAAUGUCAGUAGAGACCACGGUUCAAUGCCAGGCCAGUGUAGAGAAAGAGACAGAAGCACCUUUUCCGUUCUUUUGCAAAACCUUUCAACAAUCUUUCCCUGAGAUUUACUAAGAUUAUGCUGCAUGUGUCAGAGCAGUGUUCUCAGUGUCUGUAUUAAGAUUGAAAGCCUCCAAGUAAGCACUGUGUCUCAUUUGAUUGUAUAGCAUUACAUAUACUGUCACUCCAUUACAAAAACGAUGGGCCUGUUAUAUAUUUUUAAGUGGGUCAAUUUUUAAUCCUAGAAACCUUUCAGUUACCUUGUAUAUUCACCAGAGGGUUGAAAUUUAAAUAAGUGUCUUGACAUUUUCUUUACAAAUCAAAUAUUAGGCUAAGAUUGCUAAACUGUCAAGAAAAGGGUUUAAGAUACUUAGGUUGAAAUGGUUAAAAUAUCUUCACGUUUGAGCAGAGAAAA